ACACACAAAAAAACUCAUCAAUCCACAAAGUUUCAAUUUUUGUUCAAGAUUGAGGAACCCCAGAUAAGAAUUUCUUAAAAAAAAUUGAAAUAAAAAAGUUAAAGAUUGAAUUUUUUUAGUGUACAUGGACUCAAAGUCAUUGAGGUUGAUAACCCAUCAAUCAUUUUUCUCAGCAGUUGGAUCUGGAGACCUUGAGUCUCUCAAAAUCAUUAUAAAGAAUGAUGGGUUGGAUCUAUUUUCUUUGUUGGCUUUACAGA
rnacentral:misc_RNA from 1 species